rnacentral:rRNA from 1 species
CUGGCCGCAGCUUACCAUGCAAGUCGAGCGGGGGAGGGUAGCUUGCUACCUGACCUAGCGGCGGACGGGUGAGUAAUGCUUAGGAAUCUGCCUAUUAGUGGGGGACAACAUUCCGAAAGGAAUGCUAAUACCGCAUACGCCCUACGGGGGAAAGCAGGGGAUCUUCGGACCUUGCGCUAAUAGAUGAGCCUAAGUCAGAUUAGCUAGUUGGUGGGGUAAAGGCCUACCAAGGCGACGAUCUGUAGCGGGUCUGAGAGGAUGAUCCGCCACACUGGGACUGAGACACGGCCCAGACUCCUACGGGAGGCAGCAGUGGGGAAUAUUGGACAAUGGGCGAAAGCCUGAUCCAGCCAUGCCGCGUGUGUGAAGAAGGCCUUUUGGUUGUAAAGCACUUUAAGCGAGGAGGAGGCUACUUGGAUUAAUACUCUAGGAUAGUGGACGUUACUCGCAGAAUAAGCACCGGCUAACUCUGUGCCAGCAGCCGCGGUAAUACAGAGGGUGCGAGCGUUAAUCGGAUUUACUGGGCGUAAAGCGUGCGUAGGCGGCUUUUUAAGUCGGAUGUGAAAUCCCUGAGCUUAACUUAGGAAUUGUAUUCGAUACUGGGAAGCUAGAGUAUGGGAGAGGAUGGUAGAAUUCCAGGUGUAGCGGUGAAAUGCGUAGAGAUCUGGAGGAAUACCGAUGGCGAAGGCAGCCAUCUGGCCUAAUACUGACGCUGAGGUACGAAAGCAUGGGGAGCAAACAGGAUUAGAUACCCUGGUAGUCCAUGCCGUAAACGAUGUCUACUAGCCGUUGGGGGCCUUUGAGGCUUUAGUGGCGCAGCUAACGCGAUAAGUAGACCGCCUGGGGGAGUACGGUCGCAAGACUAAAACUCAAAGGAAUUGACGG